rnacentral:rRNA from 1 species
UUAAGCGACUAAGCGUACACGGUGGAUGCCCUGGCAGUCAGAGGCGAUGAAGGACGUGCUAAUCUGCGAAAAGCGUCGGUAAGGUGAUAUGAACCGUUAUAGCCGGCGAUGUCCGAAUGGGGAAACCCAGUGUGAUUCGUCACACUAUCGUUAACUGAAUACAUAGGUUAACGAGGCGAACCGGGGGAACUGAAACAUCUAAGUACCCCGAGGAAAAGAAAUCAACCGAGAUUCCCCCAGUAGCGGCGAGCGAACGGGGAGCAGCCCAGAGUCUGAAUCAGCUUGUGUGUUAGUGGAACGGUCUGGAAAGUCCGACGGUACAGGGUGAUAGUCCCGUACACCAAAAUGCACAGGUUGUGAACUCGAAGAGUAGGGCGGGACACGUGGUAUCCUGUCUGAAUAUGGGGGGACCAUCCUCCAAGGCUAAAUACUCCUGACUGACCGAUAGUGAACCAGUACCGUGAGGGAAAGGCGAAAAGAACCCCGGCGAGGGGAGUGAAAAAGAACCUGAAACCGUGUACGUACAAGCAGUGGGAGCACCUUCGGGUGUGACUGCGUACCUUUUGUAUAAUGGGUCAGCGACUUAUAUUCUGUAGCAAGGUUAACCGUAUAGGGGAGCCGCAGGGAAACCGAGUCUUAACUGGGCGUUAAGUUGCAGGGUAUAGACCCGAAACCCGGUGAUCUAGCCAUGGGCAGGUUGAAGGUUGGGUAACACUAACUGGAGGACCGAACCGACUAAUGUUGAAAAAUUAGCGGAUGACUUGUGGCUGGGGGUGAAAGGCCAAUCAAACCGGGAGAUAGCUGGUUCUCCCCGAAAGCUAUUUAGGUAGCGCCUCGUGAACUCAUCUUCGGGGGUAGAGCACUGUUUCGGCUAGGGGGUCAUCCCGACUUACCAACCCGAUGCAAACUACGAAUACCGAAGAAUGUUAUCACGGGAGACACACGGCGGGUGCUAACGUCCGUCGUGAAGAGGGAAACAACCCAGACCGCCAGCUAAGGUCCCAAAGUCAUGGUUAAGUGGGAAACGAUGUGGGAAGGCACAGACAGCCAGGAUGUUGGCUUAGAAGCAGCCAUCAUUUAAAGAAAGCGUAAUAGCUCACUGGUCGAGUCGGCCUGCGCGGAAGAUGUAACGGGGCUAAACCAUGCACCGAAGCUGCGGCAGCGACACUAUGUGUUGUUGGGUAGGGGAGCGUUCUGUAAGCCUGCGAAGGUGACCUGUGAGGGUUGCUGGAGGUAUCAGAAGUGCGAAUGCUGACAUAAGUAACGAUAAAGCGGGUGAAAAGCCCGCUCGCCGGAAGACCAAGGGUUCCUGUCCAACGUUAAUCGGGGCAGGGUGAGUCGACCCCUAAGGCGAGGCCGAAAGGCGUAGUCGAUGGGAAACAGGUUAAUAUUCCUGUACUUGGUGUUACUGCGAAGGGGGGACGGAGAAGGCUAUGUUAGCCGGGCGACGGUUGUCCCGGUUUAAGCAUGUAGGCUGGUUGUCCAGGCAAAUCCGGAUAAUCAAGGCUGAGGUGUGAUGACGAGGCACUACGGUGCUGAAGUAACAAAUGCCCUGCUUCCAGGAAAAGCCUCUAAGCAUCAGGUAACAUCAAAUCGUACCCCAAACCGACACAGGUGGUCAGGUAGAGAAUACCAAGGCGCUUGAGAGAACUCGGGUGAAGGAACUAGGCAAAAUGGUGCCGUAACUUCGGGAGAAGGCACGCUGGUGUGUAGGUGAAGUCCCUGCGGAUGGAGCUGAGACCAGUCGAAGAUACCAGCUGGCUGCAACUGUUUAUUAAAAACACAGCACUGUGCAAACACGAAAGUGGACGUAUACGGUGUGACGCCUGCCCGGUGCCGGAAGGUUAAUUGAUGGGGUUAUCCGUAAGGAGAAGCUCUUGAUCGAAGCCCCGGUAAACGGCGGCCGUAACUAUAACGGUCCUAAGGUAGCGAAAUUCCUUGUCGGGUAAGUUCCGACCUGCACGAAUGGCGUAAUGAUGGCCAGGCUGUCUCCACCCGAGACUCAGUGAAAUUGAACUCGCUGUGAAGAUGCAGUGUACCCGCGGCAAGACGGAAAGACCCCGUGAACCUUUACUAUAGCUUGACACUGAACAUUGAGCCUUGAUGUGUAGGAUAGGUGGGAGGCUUUGAAGCGUGGACGCCAGUCUGCGUGGAGCCAACCUUGAAAUACCACCCUUUAAUGUUUGAUGUUCUAACGUUGGCCCCUUACCGGGGUUGCGGACAGUGUCUGGUGGGUAGUUUGACUGGGGCGGUCUCCUCCCAAAGCGUAACGGAGGAGCACGAAGGUUAGCUAAUCCUGGUCGGACAUCAGGAGGUUAGUGCAAUGGCAUAAGCUAGCUUGACUGCGAGCGUGACGGCGCGAGCAGGUGCGAAAGCAGGUCAUAGUGAUCCGGUGGUUCUGAAUGGAAGGGCCAUCGCUCAACGGAUAAAAGGUACUCCGGGGAUAACAGGCUGAUACCGCCCAAGAGUUCAUAUCGACGGCGGUGUUUGGCACCUCGAUGUCGGCUCAUCACAUCCUGGGGCUGAAGUAGGUCCCAAGGGUAUGGCUGUUCGCCAUUUAAAGUGGUACGCGAGCUGGGUUUAGAACGUCGUGAGACAGUUCGGUCCCUAUCUGCCGUGGGCGCUGGAGAAUUGAGGGGGGCUGCUCCUAGUACGAGAGGACCGGAGUGGACGCAUCACUGGUGUUCGGGUUGUCAUGCCAAUGGCACUGCCCGGUAGCUAAAUGCGGAAGAGAUAAGUGCUGAAAGCAUCUAAGCACGAAACUUGCCCCGAGAUGAGUUCUCCCUGAGACUUUAAGUCUCCUGAAGGAACGUUGAAGACGACGACGUUGAUAGGCCGGGUGUGUAAGCGCAGCGAUGCGUUGAGCUAACCGGUACUAAUGAACCGUGAGGCUUAACCUU